GCCACGAUAGAUCAAUGGUAGAUCAUUUCCAACUUAUAGUCAUGAUGCUGACUAUCAUAAGCUAGGGGGAAGUUACGGUUCGACUCCAUGUUGUGGCA